UACGUAGGGUGCGAGCGUUGUCCGGAAUUAUUGGGCGUAAAGGGCUUGUAGGUGGCGUGUCGCGUCUGUCGUGAAAUGUACUGGCUUAACCAGUGCAGUGCGGUGGGUACGGGCAUGCUUGAGUGUGGUAGGGGAGAUUGGAAUUCCUGGUGUAGCGGUGGAAUGCGCAGAUAUCAGGAAGAACACCGGUGGCGAAGGCGGAUCUCUGGGCCAUUACUGACGCUGAGGAGCGAAAGCAUGGGGAGCGAAC
rnacentral:rRNA from 1 species